AUCCAGCUGACGAGUCCCAAAUAAAACGAAAACGCGCGUUCUGGAU
rfam:Schistosoma margrebowiei strain Zambia genome assembly, scaffold: SMRZ_contig0002747